AUAUAACUAAGCGGAGGAAAAGAAACUAACCAGGAUUCCCUCAGUAACUGCGAGUGAAGCGGGAAAAGCUCAGACUGAAAACCUUCGGGAUUGUAGUCUGGAGAAGCAUAGUCAGCCGAGAGCUGCGGGUCAAGUCUUCUGGAAAGGAGCGCCAUGGAGGGUUAUAGCCCCGUUCGUACCUGCGGAUCGAAGCGUACGACUUGCUUUCUACGAGUCGAGUUGUUUGGGAUUGCAGCUCUAAGUGGGUGGUAAAUUCCAUCUAAAGCUAAAUAUUGGUGGGAGACCGAUAGCGAACAAGUACCGUGAGGGAAAGAUGAAAAGAACUUUGAAAAGAGAGUUAAAUAGUACCUGAAAUUGCUGAAAUGGAACCGAUGGGACGCAGUGUCGGUGGCGGGUACUUGUAUCUGUCACAAGUAGGGCUUCAUUCUUGGCGCGGGAAAGGCUUGGAGAUCUGUAUGAGCUCCUUUUGCUGUCGUGCCGGGGAUGGACUUCUACGAAAUGCGUCUCAUCAU
rnacentral:rRNA from 1 species